GACUGCCUUCCUAGACAAAGGGAAUUUAACAGUAAAAUUGUCCUGUUUAGUGGAGAAAGAAAAAAUUAGGGCUACCAAAAUGAUUGUUUAACUGCUAUUCCAGUUUGCUUUUCAGGUUCGUUGUAACAAUUGCAUGCAGGCCCACCGAAGCCAGAUGAUUUUUACAAGUUUGUCAGAUGUAACUUUGGUCCUUAAUAACUUCCAGUCUAUAUAGAAAUUGGCCAGUAACCCAGUAGGAGGUGUGACAAUCCAUCUAAGCUGCUGGGAAACACUACCACAGUCCAGUUCAGAUCCAGCCCAUCUCUUCAACCUGGAGGUCUGUUUGGAGAAAGUUCAAAGACAGUCAUCUGGAGGAGACCAUAUCAUCUUGUGUUUCCUACGAGGCAGCUUCCUACAAUGGCUAUUGCUGUCUGCAUUCAUCUGACCACAGCUGAAGAAUAAUCUUUGAGCUUCUGUAAACUGCCAUAUACAUUUGGCUCUGAUUUAUAUAAUGCUGCCCUACUGGAAGUUGGGGCUGCUCUUGGUCCCAGGACAAGGCAGUCAGGACCAGCCAAAUA